rnacentral:misc_RNA from 1 species
AUGCGAUAAGUAGUGUGAAUUGCAGAAUUCAGUGAAUCAUCGAAUCUUUGAACGCACAUUGCGCCCUUUGGUAUUCCAUUGGGCAUGCCUGUUCGAGCGUCAUUUCAAACCUCAAGCACUGCUUGGUGUUGGGCGUCUGUCCCGCCGCUUCGCGCGUGGACUCGCCUCAAAGCCAUUGGCGGCCGGCAUCCUCGACAUUCCGCACGCAGCAGACCGCGCGAAAGGAAUUCCAGGAGCCUGGCGUCCAGAAGCUCUCCCCCAAGUUUGACCUCGGAUCAGGUAGGGAUACCCGCUGAACUUAA